rnacentral:lncRNA from 1 species
AGAGUCCCCUCUACUUGCCUGGCUUGGAAGUAAAUACAUGGAUUUAGUCCCAUACUCUAUGGAGUUAAACAAUUUCCCUGACCCUUUUCUUGUAUUGCAAAUUAUUUCUACAGGUAAGGUUUAAGCCCUCAUUAAUGGCAAAUAUUUUUCAACUUAAGGAACUGGUGUAAAAUUCAUCCACAUUUCAGGGGGAAUCCUAGAUUUAGGCUUUCAUAAACAUUUCUUCAAGAGUUGUGGCUGAUGGAGGUAUGGGGGUGAAGAACAUCACAAUGAAGUUUGUGUAGUGCAGAACAGUGUAAAAUGACCAUGUGAGUAGCACCCCCUAGUGUUGAAGAAGAGGUGUGAGUGUGGGAGGUUGCUGGAAGAAGGGGUGUAUUACAGAUAUUCUUUUUAUUCCUUUUCGCUAAAUCCCUUCCUGCAGGGGCAGGAGCCCGGGAUGCAGGGUUGGGCUGCUCAGAGACUGCUGAGUAAAGUAAUUCAAGAGACAGUACCUCGGAGUAAAAACCACAACUAAGAUGCCAUCGAAAGGGACCAUGGAGAGAAGAUCACCAUCAAUCCUGCCUGGGCUAAGGUCAAAAGAGUGUCAGAACAGAAUACUUUAAAGCAUUCUGGAGGCAACACCUGAGCAGG